UACGUAGGGUGCGAGCGUUAAUCGGAAUUACUGGGCGUAAAGCGUGCGCAGGCGGUUUUGUAAGCCAGAUGUGAAAUCCCCGGGCUUAACCUGGGAAUGGCAUUUGGGACUGCAAGGCUUGAGUGCGGCAGAGGAGACUGGAAUUCCUGGUGUAGCAGUGAAAUGCGUAGAUAUCGUUUGGAACGCCGAUGGUGAAAACAGGUCGCUGGGGCUGUGCUGACGCUGAGACACGAAAGCCAGGGGAGCGAACGGG
rnacentral:rRNA from 1 species